rnacentral:lncRNA from 1 species
AAGCUCUCGGUUAGAGAUCACUAAUUUGCAGUUUUCACAAUUCAAAAUGCAAUUAAUGUAUACACAAAGAAAUGGAAUAAAACCUGUAGAUAAAUACUCAUGCUUCAGGAAUUCUAAAGAAAUGUAAAGCAUUACAAUAAAUUAAAAGAACUUAGAAGUUAGAAACAGAAGAUUAAAAUUUCACGAAACAUAUAGAAUCAAAAUUUUAUUUCAAAAAAGAGGAAUGUACAUUGAAUUGAGUUCAAGGAAAUGGAUAAAAAAAAGUUUACUCAGGGCAUCAUCAUGACCGCCUUGUGCUCUCUGGGAGGUGACUCGCGCAACCUCGUGUACCCAGCAUAACAGCCACUUUCCGAUGGCGGCUUUGUGUUCACUUUCUGUUCACGUCCAGUGCCACUGUUCAUGUUUGCUCAACAUCAUUGGCUCUACUUCGUGCUUCUUCUUCGUCCAACUCUUUGAUUCUAUUUAGGCGCGAGCUGCUUGCCCCUUUGUUCAGCUGUGCGUUUUGA